UUUUAGCUGACGAGUCCCAACUAGGACGAAACGCGUGUCCUGGAU
rnacentral:hammerhead_ribozyme from 1 species